UUGUAGCCUCCUCUCUCCCCACCACCCCCUGCAGUUUCUCAUCUCAAUAGGCACACAGGGCUGCCUUGUCAGAAUACACUGAACAACAACUGGCUAUUCACGCAUAGAAAGGUAAUUUAAAAUUUUAUUACUUUCCCCAAUACUCAGAUCUUUAAUCAUUUAGUUAUAUAUUGCUUCAAGAUUUUACAACUGUUGGUAUAACAGUAAGUUAAUGAU
rnacentral:lncRNA from 1 species